GCCGGUGCUGGGCCCCUCGCGGCGGGGCGGGCGCUGCCUGGGGUACGCGGGGUGCCUGGGGUACGCGGGGUGAUCCUUGGACACUUUUCCGCGGUCUCAAGCCAGAUGCAUCAAAAAGUUUAAGAGGAGCUACUCAGCAAUGCAGUCUCCAUGACUGUCAGGCCUGUUCAUUGCUAGCUUCUGGAAAACUGAGGUGUUUUAGUCACCACAUGACUUUGCUCUUCUGGAACACAAUGCAACAGAAUGCUGAACAACAACAAAGGAAGACAAACUCCCUGCCAUCAAAGUUCUUUCCAGUGGUUCCAUUGCCAAGAAUCCUGCAGAAAAGAUACACAAAUGAUCAGACUGCAGAGAAUCCUUCUACUUGAUAAUCUGGCUGGCUGUAAACACAGUUGAUUUGGUAGCAUGAUUGGGAAGCUCAUCCACAUCAAACUGGGCAUGAUGAAAAGGAAGGUAACUUGAUGUGGGUUGCCCUGUUUAGGAUGAAUUGGACACAGCUGCAACACUCCACAAAAUAUUUAGUCAGGAUGAAACUACUUUUGGAUAGUAUGUUCCAAUGCUUCUACCUUAUGUUCUCUCUUUGCCAGCAGUUUGUUCUUGAAGCCAUAAAUGAACAAUUGCAUAAAUCCUAUCCGACUUUACUGGUUUUCUGACUCAAAAGCCAGGUUCACAAGGGAGCAUUUUUAAAAAUUGUUCGGAAUAGAGAACUGCUACUUUUU